GGACGAAGCACGUAAGGGCAUACGGUGGAUGACUUGGCAGUGAAGAGCUGAUGAAAGACGUGGUAGCCUGCGAAAAGUUUCGGGGAGGUGGCAAACAACCUGUGAUCCGGAAAUGUCUGAAUGGGGAAACCCACAUGAGUAAAGCUCAUGUACCCACACCUGAAUACAUAGGGUGUGAGGGAGGCACCUAGGGAAGUGAAACAUCUCAGUACCUAGAGGAAAAGAAACAAACAUAAUCGGACUUUUUGUCACUCAUGAUCAGCAAUGGUCGUGGCGUGACAAAAAGUCCGAAGGAUUCCCUGAGUAGUGGCGAGCGAAACGGGACAAGCCUAAACCUAUAAAAACUAAAUUUUGAACUGAGACUACGCAAGUAUUCCGCAGACAAAAUGGCGAGCUUGGGCUGUCGUUUUAUAGGGGUUGAUGGGACCAACUGUGCUUUCCCCCAAGGGAAGCGCAUUUAAGACGCAUUAUAUAGUUGAACAAACUGGAAAGUUUGGCCAAAGACGGUGAUAGCCCGGUAGACGAAAUAUAGAGCGCUAGAUGAGUUGAGAUCCAAAGUACUACGAGGCCCGAGAAACCUCGUAGGAAGCAGCCACGACGAUGUGGCAAGGCUAAAUACUCUUCCUGACCGAUAGUGAACCAGUACAGUGAUGGAACGUUGAAAAGCAGCCCGGGAGGGCGAUGAAAUAGUAUCUGAAACCGUAUGCUUACAAGGAGGUGGAGCGGGCGCAAGUCCGUCACACCGUUCCUAUUGAAGAAUGAGCCAACGAGUGUGCUGUGUGUCGCUUGAUUAAGUCCCUGCGGGGAUGAAGUCACAGUGAAAGCGAGCCUGAAUAGGGCGUUGGUGGCACAUACACAACCCGAAACCCGGCGAUCUAUCCAUGACCAGGUUGAAGCAACGGUAAAACGUUGUGGAGGACCGAACCCACGAGCCGUGCAACACUCGGGGAUGAGUUGUGGAUAGCGGUGAAAUUCCAAUCGAGCUGGGUAAUAGCUGGUUCUCCUUGAAAUAGGUUUUGGCCUAGCGGUGGUUAAUAGCAAAGUGGGGGUAGAGCACUGAAUGAGGUCCGGGGCGCAAGCUUACGUACUUCAACCAAACUCCGAAUACCACUUUGUGUUCCCACCAGUCAGUCCAUGGGGGCUAAGCUCCAUCGGACAAGAGGGAAACAGCCCUGAUCGUAAUCUAAGGUCCCUAAAUUAAUACUAAGUGUGAAAGGUGGUCGGACGGCUUAUACAACCAGGAGGUUGGCUUAGAAGCAGCCAUCCUUUAAAGAAAGCGUAACAGCUCACUGGUCAAGCUAUCCGGCGCCGAAAACUUAUCGGGGCUAAGUAUUAUACCGAAGAUACGAACUGUAAUUGUCCUCGGACUUUUACUUUGGUAAAGGAGCAUUCUGUUCAGCACUGAAGCGAAAGGCGCGAGCCAUCGUGGAGCGUACAGAAGUGAGAAUGUUGGCAUAAGUAGCAAAAAUGGAGGUGAGAAUCCUCCACAUCGUAAACCCAAGGUUUCCAGGGCAACGCGAAUCGCCCCUGGGUUAGUCGGUCCUAAGGUGAGGCCGAAAGGCGUAAUCGAUGGACAGCAGGUUAAUAUUCCUGCACUUCUAUAGAUUUCCAAUGGAGAGACGCAUCCUUCAACUACUCGAGAUUCUCGGAAUGAAUCUUUGGGGGUCAAGGGGUGCCUGAUAGGCAAAUCCGUCAGGCAUUAGCCUCGUGAUCAUCGCGAGUUUAUCGAAAGAUAAGCAAGGGGUGGGACUGGGGUGCCAAGAAAAUCUUCUAGGGCUAAGUCUAUAGAAACCGUACCGCAAACCGACACAGGUGGGUGGGCAUGAGUGUGCUCAGAUGAACGAGAGAACCCGCGUUUAGGAACUCGGCAAUACAGCGACCGUAACUUAGGGAUAAGGUCUCCCCACAGCAAUGUGGGGCGCAGCUAAAGACGCAAACCGACUGUUUACCAAAAACACAGCUUCCUGCUAAAUCGCAAGAUGAAGUAUAGGAAGUGAUGCCUGGCCAGUGUCAGAACGUUAAAGGGAGAGGUCAUGAUCGCAAGAUCGGCAGCCUUGAGCUGAAGCGCUGAUGAACGCCGGCGAUAACUAUAAUCGUCCUAAGGUAGCGAAAUUCCUUGACGGGUGAGUUCCGUCCCGCACGAAUGGCAUAACGAGUUUGCGACUGUCUCAACGUGGGACUCGGCGAAAUUGCAAGUGGGGUGAAGAUGCCCUGUAUGCGCAGUCAGACGAAAAGACCCCGUGAAGCUUUACUACAAUUUGAUAUUGGGUAAUGGCUUGGCAUGUUCAGUGUAGGUGGGAGCGUAAGCACCAAUGAGACACCACCCUUGCCUCGACAUUAUUCUUAUCACGAACCAUGAAUCUGGUUUGUGAAACAGUAUCUGAUGGGUAGUUUAACUGGGGCGGUUGCCUCCCAAAAUGUAACGGAGGCGUUCACAAAGGUUAGCUAGGCGCGGAUGGAAAUCGCGCUGAUCCUGCAAUAGGACAAGCUAGCUUAACUGCAAGGCCAACAAGCCGAGCAGAUACGAAAGUAGGAUAUAGUGAUCCGACCGUACGAUAUCGGACGGCGGAAGCUCAACGGAUAAAAGCUACUCCGGGGAUAACAGGCUGAUCAGGUCCAAGAGUCCACAUCGACGACCUGGUUUGGCACCUCGAUGUCGGCUCAUCGCAUCCUGGGGCUGGAGAAGGUCCCAAGGGUUAGGCUGUUCGCCUAUUAAAGCGGUACGCGAGCUGGGUUCAGAACGUCGUGAGACAGUUCGGUCUCCUGUCUACUGUGCGCGCGGAAUGUUGAGGGAACUGGUCUCUAGUACGAGAGGACCGAGAUCAACGAACCUCUAGUGUGCCGGCUGUCCUACCAAGGGCACCGCCGGGUAGCUACGUUCGGUGCAGAUAAACGCUGAAAGCAUCUAAGCGUGAAACUGUUCCCAAGAUUAACAUUCAUUAUUAGGACCCUACGAGACUAGUAGGUUGAUAGGCUAUAUGUGUAAGGGCAGCAAUGUCUUCAGCAGAGUAGUACUAAUCGUCCAAUGCUUCGACCAU
rnacentral:rRNA from 1 species